GUUUGGAAAAAAAAGGGAUAAUGGCAGAUUGAUUAGGACUAAUGUUUUAAUUCUUUCACCAAUGUUUAACCAAUUUCUCACUCCUUUUCCCCUUUUUUUCUCGCUCAUUGAACAAAGUGCUUUCACACGCUGUGAACCACAUUAGCUCCCUCGGUCUUAACUUUGUUUAGCAGCUCACAAAACUCCAUUUGUUCCUGAAAAAUACUGGCGCUUCACCAGCAAUUAGGCAUAAAAGCGAGUGUUUCUCGUGAAAGCUACAUAAAUUUAAAGCAACGUAAAAAAAGGUGAGGUUGAUAGAUGACGGAUUGUGUUUGCCUGUCAUUUUUUACCUCCAACCCUAAGGCGGGCUGACGUUAAGGGACCGUGCUUGUUGAAUGGGUCUAGAGUCCCAUCAAUCUUUGCUUUGGCUCGUGGGAAAAAAAAAAAAAAAGGAGUCUGUCAAAACUAUAAAAACUUGGCACAGGAGCAGAACAGCAUAAACAAUCCACGCUUAUCAGAAAUUAAAGGGUAAAGCUGUCGACAUCGGGGAAUGUCAGCGCCCUGUGGUGGAUGGGAGCGGGAAAAGCUAAAUGACGAUCAUUAAGUGGAAAUAAAACUCCUGCGAGUCGGUGCGUGCCGCACAAAUGGGCAUGUCUCUGUGCCAGUUUGUGUGGCAUGUUGGUUUUAGCUCCAGUUCAGAAAACUGCUUUAAAAAUACUCAAUUCAUCAACCAAAAGCCUCCUAAUUAUUCAGCCAUGUCUUUACCGAACAUGUCUCAUAACCCCAACUACCCCGUGAUGUAUAUUUACCAAAUUAGGAGCCCAAUUAGAAGUAAUGGGCCCUGCAGUGUAAAAUUUAUUACCAUUUGGGUUUGAUUAAGUGCAGCAAAGGCUUCAGACUGAUUGUUAUUACCGAGGUGUAGGCUUCAAUACCACUUAGUCUUUUAAAGCAUUACAGAAACACUUAAGACCUGGCUUCAUGGAAAAGGGUUUCUGGAAAAAUGCCAAAGAAUACCGCUCCAAGAGGAGGGAAGAGAGACACUCCAGUAAAGCAGCGGAGUUUAGGCUGGAAAAAAAGCACCUUUAAGGCUUAAGCAGAAUCACACCCACUCAGAAAGUGAACAUGCACGGAGAAGUAAAGCUACAGUAAGAGGUCGAUAAAGCAGUUUAACAGAGAUUCUCUCUUUUUCCCAGUAUAUAAGCGCUGAAAAAAUUAGGUCCUUUCCACUCUUUCAGCAGGGGACCAGUGGACCUUCAAAUACUAAAACAGCUCAUAUUCAAAUGAGUGAGAGGCCAACUGGUCGUUCGGGUAAUAGUGAAAAUAUGGAAAACUUUUACGUUUGUUCGAUACAACAGCUUCUUUUCUUCUGUUAAGAUUUUGUUACCUAUUUUGCUUCCUUGAACACUUUGAUGCCGUUUGACCUCCAGAUCAAAACCUACUGUGGAGUGUGCAGAAGUGGAAGGCCAGUUUGGGUCAGAUAGAUGUAAAUCAUUAUCUUGGUAUAUUAGUCCAUCUACUAAGAAUUCAAACAGUGCAAUUACAUUAGGAUUAAUUUGUUCCCAUGCACUUUAUAAGUCCUGUUUCAGUCAGGCCUUAUGCAAUAAAUUGAUUUUUUAAUAUCAUGUAAACAUGCAAACUGGCGAUGGCUAACCACCAACCACAUUAUCAAUAAACUUCUUUCUUCUUUUUCUUCUUUCUUUUCUUCUUCUACUUCUCCUUCUUUUUUUCCCCUCUUCUUCGUCUAUCUUUUCUUCUUUCUUUUUCUUCUUUCUUUUCUUCUUCUACUCCUUCCUUCUUUCCCCUUUCCUUCUUUUUUCUUCUUCUUUCUUUCUUCUUGUUCUUUUUUCUUCUUUUUCCUUCUUUCUUUCUUCUUCUUUCUUAUUUCUUCUUCAUCUUUUUUCAUCUUUUGUUUCUUCUUUUUUCCUCUUUCUUUCUUCUUCUCCUUCUUUUUUCUUUCCUUUUUUCCUCUCUUUUUUCUUCUUCUUCUUCUUUCUUUUCUUCUUCUACUUCUCCUUCAGUCUAUUUUAUUCAUCAUCUUUCUUUUCUUCUUCUCCUUGUCUUUUUCUUCCUCAUCUUUCUUCUUCUUCCUCAUCUUUCUUCUUCUUCUUCAUCUUUCUUCUUCAUCUUCUUCUUCUGCUUCUCCUCAUUCUUCUGAACUCUUAAACAUUUAUUGUUGCAUUAACUAAGAAUCCCUGGACAUGUCUUAGAAUUAUCUCAUAAAAAAUUCACACCAUAUUAACACUGAUUGAACAUUUCCAAUGUGCGCUUACGUAUAUUUCUUACACUUUAACACCGCUAUCUUAACACUAUACCCCACAGAAGACGCUUUUUGGGAAAGUUUCCUUUCUCUAAGCAAUGUUAUUUGACCGCAGUGGUGUAGCAGAGCAGCAUUUAUUUAAAUACUAAAUCUAAAAGUCAGUACUGAGUGAUGACAUAACUUUUUUUCCUUAGUUGUUGCUGAAAUCCAUCAGCCGACUGAUUAAAUCUUGGACAAACCGUGUUCUGCGUAUAAAGACACAGUUUUCAUCAGUCUUCAAAGAGAACCAUUUCUGAGCGGCAGACUAUAAAGAGACGGAUCUAAUGAGUAUGCUGAUGUUUGUUAACCACCGUGUUUUGGACCCCUGUGUAGGCGGACAGCGAUGUGAUGCACUAUCAGAGUUCAGCUGUGUUUGCUGUCCUCGGUGCACAGGUUAAAGAUUGAUGCCCGCCCCGAUCCCCGUCUCCUCCCACUCGCACACUCACUUUUUCUUCCUUUUGUCCCCGCGACCAAAAGCAGAAUCAAAGAGCGUAUUGAACAGACCUGGAGCGCCAGCACACCCCAUUGCACAUGAAAAACUGAUAGGUUCCUUUGGAGCCCUGAGAGGUAAGCCCCCCGAACUCUGGGUUUCUCAUUGUCCCGGUGCACUUUGACACAGGUCCACAAUGGAAGCCCUAUCUUCAGCUAUAACACAAGCUCUGAAGAAGGGGCUGAAAACCAUUCAACCUGUCAUUAACCCUUCUGGAAACCAGAGAAUGGGGUAGUCCCACCGUAACACCCUGCCCCAUACACCUCAUACUCCACCCUCCCCAACAGACCGACUACCCUCCAGCGGUACAGCCCCCUUUUGUCCCAUUGUGCCAUGAGUGAUGGAUUCUGGCGGAUGGGAUGAAAAUGAGGGCCGCAGAGAGUUUGGUAGGCUUGAUUGGCAACUUUGGAUACCCAAACCGUCAAGAGAGAAGACAGGAAUAACUAUAGUACACCUAAAUAGGCUGGUCCCAAAAGGAGAAAGGGCAAGGGCCAGAGUGCUGACACAUCAUCAUAAUGAUAAAGAAAGAAGUCCCUGUAGAGAAACCUUCUGUGCAGCUUGGCCUUUUCUCUGGUGGGUUAACUUGAUCUCCUGUGAAUGCUGAUGGAGGAUCAUGCAGAUAUUUGGUGGGCGUAGAGACGGCUGACAGUGUUUUACAGAGGCCCUCUUGUGAAGCACAGGGGGACAUUAUAAAUGCUAAAUACCAAGCCGGACCCAGAUGAUCACCAUAGCCCGCGGCAAUCAAUAAGUGAAUGGAGACCAGGUGGUGAUGGCGCCAUUCAGAAAGGAAAGAGGAGGACCCAGAUUUUACCAAGUGGAGCAGGAGUGAAUACACAAUAGAGGUUGAGAGCGGGAGAUCAUAAAAGUGAUUGGACUCAAGGUGGAGGAGGAUCAAUGGAUGUGUGUCGGAUCUUAAAGCCCUGAGGAUGGACAUUAGUACAGGCCAGACCAAACCAACUUUGAUGAAUGUUGGGGGGGAACGCUCACACCCCCAUCCUACCGACGAUUUCAAGAUGAUUUUUGAUGCAGUUUAUUAAACUUACCAACAAAAAGAAGAGGGCGCCAUAUGGAAAGUCAAAUUAGGAUGACUUAAAGAAAUGCAUUUGUGGAGUGAUGGGGCCUAAUUGAUACACCAAAUUUGUGGUAGCAUCCCUGCAUCUAUAGUGUCGUGAAAACAGCUAAAUCAACAUAAAAACAAGCUUCCUCUAGAGUUGUUCAGAUACCGAUACCAGUAUCAGAAAAUGCUCUGAUACUGCCGAAAAUGCUAGCAUCAAUACCCGCGAGUACUGGAGUCAGUCAGUCCUUUUUCUUUAGCGCAAUUCUUUACGAAAAAACAUCGAAAAGACACAAAGACCUCACAGAUGCAGUGGCUUAUUGAAUUGCAAAAAGCCAUGCUACCAAUUAGCACUUUUAAAUUCCAUUUUUAUAUUGUCAUAUAUAUAGAUAUUGACUGAUAUGAAAAAAAUAUGUCAUGAUAAACUUUUUCCCAUAUCGCCCAGCCCUAGUCUUGCCAUCAAAAGUCAAAAGGAAGUCCUGCUGCAGUCGUAUGGCUUCAGUCGUAUAAGGAGACGCUUGAUCAUGCAAUGCACUGUUCACCACUGUAAGUGUGUUUUACUGGACUCUGGAAACAAAGGCAAAGACACGCAUCUGCAUCUGCAAGAGCUUCUACAUCAACAUGUUUAACUGAUUUACUCAAAAUUCAGGACAUCUUAACAAGCAUGUCUACCACAACAUUCUCACCUCCAGGGCUACUUGACCAGGAAGGAGAGAGUUGGAGUGUUGCGUCAGAUGACCUGGCCUCCACAGCCCCCUGACCUGAACCCUGUUGAGAUGGUUUGAGGAAAAGCAGCCAACAAGUUCUCAACACCUCUGGAAAACCAUGAUAUCUGACGUCUUUGGUUUUAAUUGUAAAUGGUAGAAAUAAAAAAUGAAGGAAGACAACUGAAUGAGUCUAGCCCUGAUGUUUGUGUCAGACUUGCUAAAUCAUGUGAUCUGUUACUGGAAUCAAUUGAAAACCAGAUUUUCAAAUUAAUACCCUUUAUUCACGAUAACUCAAAGCAGAAAUUUGCUCGUCGAUGAGACAUUUAAACAAACACCAACCACGGUCCGCCUCCACACAAUGUGUCUCUGUUCUUUUAAACAGAGGAAAAUCUCCACCUGCCCUUUAAAAAGGCUAAUGCAUUAAUGACUCCGCUCUGAACUCUGUGAUUCCAGCUGCUUUGCCACGUCUAAUGCGAUCCAGGUACGGGUUUAGCCUUCACUUAACUCUAAUCCCUGCACACUUGAUACUUUCUUAUAUGUGACUGUAAUGCAAACACGGUGCAGCGGCCUGCAGAGCUGCUUAAUGUGAUUGCAAAGAGGAAGGAGGGGGCAAACAUAAAACGAUAAGCUUUGCCUGUAGAAGCGUCGCACAUUAAUAUGGAUCAGGUGGAAGCUCUUUUCUUCUUACUUAAAGGAUCUGCAUCCCGGGAAUAAAGGAAAGGAAAGAGGAUUUAAGUUGGACGGUGAUUGGGCAACAAUAUGAAACAAUAAACCCAAGUGUUCCUUAUUUACAGCUUUGCUUUAAUGUGUUUUUAAGUGAACUUGAAGAAGGCACCGCCAUAUGUUAGGGUUGGUUCAGCUGAUCAAAUGAUAAAUCACAGAUACAGAACAGCUGCUGUAUGUAAGGGGCACAGCUUACACGGAUUAACUGAAAGGAAAAGACACUAUAGCUAAAAAUAAGAAGUGAAGGGAAAAUGAAAAACAUAAAAGAUAAAAACGUUGAUUUCCCUAAAAACUCCUCUGUCACUGUCUUUUUAUAUUUUUUAGUCAUAAUUGAUCACAGCCACAUUUUUCAUUCACCUCUCGAUACUCCCUUUUGGACUACAUGGAUCAAAACGAACUCGACAUCUUCGGGAAUAAUCAUAAAUAUAUGUUAAUCAUAUUUUGCUGCCGCUCUGGUUUUAAUUACCUCCAUGCUGCUACAGCCACUGUAUUAGGUAACAGGAUGAAUUUUGUUUUGCAUUAUGUAAGGGUUUCCAUUCAGGAGAGCUGCUGCAGAGGGAAAUGUGGAGACAAUCACCUCACUGGUUGUGCGUUUAAAACAAAGAAAUCAAUGUUUUUUUUAAUGUGAGACUGUUUGGUGAUUUAAUAAAAAGUCUCUUGUUUAAAUAAAUAUCCGUGCUGAGGUCCUCAAAAUAUGAAAUAAAGACUGGUUUGUUCAUGUUUUUUCUGUCUUUCGAAAGAGUUGUUACAACAUUUGUUAUUUUCAGGCUGUGUUUUCUGGACUGGAUGAACUCACUCUGUUGAAAAUGCCACAACAACAGUGAUUAAUUCUCAGUUUCUGGUGUCUGAUAAUUAAAUUAUCAAUCCGCCAAUCAAUAAAGAGUAAAAGUAUCUUCAUCAAAAUUCAUAUUAAAUCAAUCUGUGAAGGAUAAUGGAAGGAAAAUUCUCCACCUCCUGUUGAUACUGUGGGGAUUUUUUCAUUCCUUUUUUAAUUCAAUUUCCAGUGAGCAACUUUCUGUUUGUAUCAGGUUUGGCGCCCCCUGUGGACAAAACUGUCAUGUCCGCUCUAUGCCUACACAGUCUUCUAACAAAAAAAUCUCAUCCCGUCAGUUUUAUGAUCAAAUGCAUCAUUAAUUGUGGAUAUUAAUCUUGAUGAUGUGUUAGUUAUGAAUGACUCAGCUCUUGUAUUGAAACCAAACCAUGAAGAAACAUCUAAAGUAGAACAAGCCUGAUCCCGCUGAGCUAAAUGAUCAGGUUCCUUUAAAAAGAGCCUGAAUUCCCAUCACUGGGACUUGAUAUGGUUUAGUUGUUUUCCUGAGAAUAAGAGGGAUCCAAACUCUGCUCUUACAAGGUAAGACGGAUCACAGACCCCUUGAGCAUUUAGCACACUUCCCUCAUAGAUUUAAAUCUAGCCACACAACCGACAUUGAAUAACUUUUCUUCUCAACAAUAACAUCUUUGGAGGAUGACUCAAAGUCAAGGCUGAAAUCUGUUUUGCUGCCCUCAGCUCCAAAUGUAGCUUCACGUUCUGUCAUUCUGUUUACUUCUCUGGCAACUCACAGAAGUGAGCAGGAAAAGCUCAACUCUGAUUGGCCUGUUGUCACACACUUUUCUGCUAUGUUUGAUUGAAUAAAUAUGCUCACAACUGAUCACCGUGAUGGAACUAAAAUUUAUCACAAUCAUUGAUCACGAUCAUAUAAUCGCCCAGUCCUACUUCUAACUCAGUUAGUCCAACUUACACAAACUAAAACUUCCAAACAAAACCCUGGACAUUUUAAGGAUUUAUAAACUCCCCUGGACAGGCUGGACAGCCCCCCAAAAGAGGACAUGUCCGGGUAAAAGAGGACAUAUGAUCACUCUAUUAUAGUACCUCUCUAGUUGCAUGUUUCAUAGCUCCUUCUGUAGACGACUUUCAACAUGCUAGAAGGCAAAUAAGUUUAUACCAAAGUGUAGCUCUGAUAUCUUGCUUUCAACUUUCUUUGAAUGACUUUGUAAACCCCAGGGAGGCGGAAAAAAGAAAGUCUUCCCUUCUGUAAGAAUUUCACAGCGUUUGUCCUGCAUUAACCUGGUCUUGGGGAUCAUUUCACUCUGAACCUCAGAGCUGUGGGUGCUGAUGAGCUGGAGCUCCCCCGCUGAGAGUGUAAUUACAAAAGUCUCCGAUUUGUAACCUCCUGUGAGUGAGUUAUGGGCCGAAAUUUAAAUAAUCUAUCAUUGUGAUACCUGGAGAGAGCUGCGUUUGUGCUCGUCUCAUAUUACAGUCUUUUCAAGUCAGCUGCUUGUAAGAUGACUCGCUAUCCUUAAGCCCAUUGCUCUAUUUUCUAAGAGGAUAACGUCGCUGGUAUUUGCUCGGAUUAAUCAUAUUUGCAUUUCAGACCAAACUACUUUCCUCCAAUAAAAGAAACACACCGAUACAGAGCGCAGUCUUCACAGACGAUCAAAAGAGACAUACAUGCUUUACAUGUGGGCCAUUCUUUCCUCUGAGGAUAAACCGCUAUACUAUCCCUCAAGCCUGUGCAGACCCCCCUCCUCUUUUCUGUUUCCAUGCUUAGAUACAGAGAUUACACUUUAAAUGACACCAAGAAAAGACUAUGAAACAGAUUAACUAAAGAGCCGAGACUCACUGAGGUUCGUAAAAAGUCAUCAAAGGGACACGAUUGAAAUAUAACAGGGUUUUGACCAAUCAGAAUCAAGUAUUCGAAUCAAUAAGGUAAUAGGCUGGCAUGAGCUGUUGUAUCAUGUUGAUGUGAUCUAAAUAAAAGACCAUCCAAUAGAAAAUGAGCAGAAUUCAUGAGAAUUAAAGGGACAUUAAGGCGUAAAAUUAAGUUAGGGUCAAACA
rnacentral:lncRNA from 1 species